GAUGAACGCUGGCGGCGUGCCUAAUACAUGCAAGUCGAGCGAACAGACGAGGAGCUUGCUCCUCUGACGUUAGCGGCGGACGGGUGAGUAACACGCGGAUAACCUACCUAUAAGACUGGGAUAACUUCGGGAAACCGGAGCUAAUACCGGAUAAUAUAUUGAACCGCAUGGUUCAAUAGUGAAAGACGGUUUUGCUGUCACUUAUAGAUGGAUCCGCGCCGCAUUAGCUAGUUGGUAAGGUAACGGCUUACCAAGGCGACGAUGCGUAGCCGACCUGAGAGGGUGAUCGGCCACACUGGAACUGAGACACGGUCCAGACUCCUACGGGAGGCAGCAGUAGGGAAUCUUCCGCAAUGGGCGAAAGCCUGACGGAGCAACGCCGCGUGAGUGAUGAAGGUCUUCGGAUCGUAAAACUCUGUUAUUAGGGAAGAACAAAUGUGUAAGUAACUAUGCACGUCUUGACGGUACCUAAUCAGAAAGCCACGGCUAACUACGUG
rnacentral:rRNA from 1 species